rnacentral:rRNA from 49 species
UUAAGCGACUAAGCGUACACGGUGGAUGCCCUGGCAGUCAGAGGCGAUGAAGGACGUGCUAAUCUGCGAUAAGCGUCGGUGAGGUGAUAUGAACCGUUAUAACCGGCGAUUUCCGAAUGGGGAAACCCAGUGUGUUUCGACACACUAUCAUUAACUGAAUCCAUAGGUUAAUGAGGCGAACCGGGGGAACUGAAACAUCUAAGUACCCCGAGGAAAAGAAAUCAACCGAGAUUCCCCCAGUAGCGGCGAGCGAACGGGGAGGAGCCCAGAGCCUGAAUCAGUGUGUGUGUUAGUGGAAGCGUCUGGAAAGGCGUGCGAUACAGGGUGACAGCCCCGUACACAAAAAUGCACAUAUUGUGAGCUCGAUGAGUAGGGCGGGACACGUGGUAUCCUGUCUGAAUAUGGGGGGACCAUCCUCCAAGGCUAAAUACUCCUGACUGACCGAUAGUGAACCAGUACCGUGAGGGAAAGGCGAAAAGAACCCCGGCGAGGGGAGUGAAAAAGAACCUGAAACCGUGUACGUACAAGCAGUGGGAGCCUCUUAAUGGGGUGACUGCGUACCUUUUGUAUAAUGGGUCAGCGACUUAUAUUCUGUAGCAAGGUUAACCGAAUAGGGGAGCCGAAGGGAAACCGAGUCUUAACUGGGCGUUAAGUUGCAGGGUAUAGACCCGAAACCCGGUGAUCUAGCCAUGGGCAGGUUGAAGGUUGGGUAACACUAACUGGAGGACCGAACCGACUAAUGUUGAAAAAUUAGCGGAUGACUUGUGGCUGGGGGUGAAAGGCCAAUCAAACCGGGAGAUAGCUGGUUCUCCCCGAAAGCUAUUUAGGUAGCGCCUCGUGAAUUCAUCUCCGGGGGUAGAGCACUGUUUCGGCAAGGGGGUCAUCCCGACUUACCAACCCGAUGCAAACUGCGAAUACCGGAGAAUGUUAUCACGGGAGACACACGGCGGGUGCUAACGUCCGUCGUGAAGAGGGAAACAACCCAGACCGCCAGCUAAGGUCCCAAAGUCAUGGUUAAGUGGGAAACGAUGUGGGAAGGCCCAGACAGCCAGGAUGUUGGCUUAGAAGCAGCCAUCAUUUAAAGAAAGCGUAAUAGCUCACUGGUCGAGUCGGCCUGCGCGGAAGAUGUAACGGGGCUAAACCAUGCACCGAAGCUGCGGCAGCGACACUAUGUGUUGUUGGGUAGGGGAGCGUUCUGUAAGCCUGUGAAGGUGGCCUGUGAGGGUUGCUGGAGGUAUCAGAAGUGCGAAUGCUGACAUAAGUAACGAUAAAGCGGGUGAAAAGCCCGCUCGCCGGAAGACCAAGGGUUCCUGUCCAACGUUAAUCGGGGCAGGGUGAGUCGACCCCUAAGGCGAGGCCGAAAGGCGUAGUCGAUGGGAAACAGGUUAAUAUUCCUGUACUUGGUGUUACUGCGAAGGGGGGACGGAGAAGGCUAUGUUGGCCGGGCGACGGUUGUCCCGGUUUAAGCGUGUAGGCUGGUUUUCCAGGCAAAUCCGGAAAACCAAGGCUGAGGCGUGAUGACGAGGCACUACGGUGCUGAAGUGACAAAUGCCCUGCUUCCAGGAAAAGCCUCUAAGCAUCAGGUAACAUCAAAUCGUACCCCAAACCGACACAGGUGGUCAGGUAGAGAAUACCAAGGCGCUUGAGAGAACUCGGGUGAAGGAACUAGGCAAAAUGGUGCCGUAACUUCGGGAGAAGGCACGCUGAUAUGUAGGUGAAGCGACUUGCUCGUGGAGCUGAAAUCAGUCGAAGAUACCAGCUGGCUGCAACUGUUUAUUAAAAACACAGCACUGUGCAAACACGAAAGUGGACGUAUACGGUGUGACGCCUGCCCGGUGCCGGAAGGUUAAUUGAUGGGGUUAGCGGUAACGCGAAGCUCUUGAUCGAAGCCCCGGUAAACGGCGGCCGUAACUAUAACGGUCCUAAGGUAGCGAAAUUCCUUGUCGGGUAAGUUCCGACCUGCACGAAUGGCGUAAUGAUGGCCAGGCUGUCUCCACCCGAGACUCAGUGAAAUUGAACUCGCUGUGAAGAUGCAGUGUACCCGCGGCAAGACGGAAAGACCCCGUGAACCUUUACUAUAGCUUGACACUGAACAUUGAGCCUUGAUGUGUAGGAUAGGUGGGAGGCUUUGAAGUGUGGACGCCAGUCUGCAUGGAGCCGACCUUGAAAUACCACCCUUUAAUGUUUGAUGUUCUAACGUUGGCCCGUAAUCCGGGUUGCGGACAGUGUCUGGUGGGUAGUUUGACUGGGGCGGUCUCCUCCUAAAGAGUAACGGAGGAGCACGAAGGUUGGCUAAUCCUGGUCGGACAUCAGGAGGUUAGUGCAAUGGCAUAAGCCAGCUUGACUGCGAGCGUGACGGCGCGAGCAGGUGCGAAAGCAGGUCAUAGUGAUCCGGUGGUUCUGAAUGGAAGGGCCAUCGCUCAACGGAUAAAAGGUACUCCGGGGAUAACAGGCUGAUACCGCCCAAGAGUUCAUAUCGACGGCGGUGUUUGGCACCUCGAUGUCGGCUCAUCACAUCCUGGGGCUGAAGUAGGUCCCAAGGGUAUGGCUGUUCGCCAUUUAAAGUGGUACGCGAGCUGGGUUUAGAACGUCGUGAGACAGUUCGGUCCCUAUCUGCCGUGGGCGCUGGAGAACUGAGGGGGGCUGCUCCUAGUACGAGAGGACCGGAGUGGACGCAUCACUGGUGUUCGGGUUGUCAUGCCAAUGGCACUGCCCGGUAGCUAAAUGCGGAAGAGAUAAGUGCUGAAAGCAUCUAAGCACGAAACUUGCCCCGAGAUGAGUUCUCCCUGACUCCUUGAGGGUCCUGAAGGAACGUUGAAGACGACGACGUUGAUAGGCCGGGUGUGUAAGCGCAGCGAUGCGUUGAGCUAACCGGUACUAAUGAACCGUGAGGCUUAACCUU